rnacentral:rRNA from 1 species
GAUGAACGCUGGCGGCGUGCCUAAUACAUGCAAGUCGAGCGAACAGAUGAGGAGCUUGCUCCUCUGACGUUAGCGGCGGACGGGUGAGUAACACGUGGAUAACCUACCUAUAAGACUGGGAUAACUUCGGGAAACCGGAGCUAAUACCGGAUAAUAUAUUGAACCGCAUGGUUUAAUAGUGAAAGACGGUUUUGCUGUCACUUAUAGCUGGAUCCGCGCCGCAUUAGCUAGUUGGUAAGGUAACGGCUUACCAAGGCAACGAUGCGUAGCCGACCUGAGAGGGUGAUCGGCCACACUGGAACUGAGACACGGUCCAGACUCCUACGGGAGGCAGCAGUAGGGAAUCUUCCGCAAUGGGCGAAAGCCUGACGGAGCAACGCCGCGUGAGUGAUGAAGGUCUUCGGAUCGUAAAACUCUGUUAUUAGGGAAGAACAAAUGUGUAAGUAACUAUGCACGUCUUGACGGUACCUAAUCAGAAAGCCACGGCUAACUACGUG